CGCCAGACUCCUACGGGAGGCAGCAGUGGGGAAUAUUGCACAAUGGGGGAAACCCUGAUGCAGCGACGCCGCGUGGGCGACGAAGCGCUCCGGCGCGUAAAGCCCUGUCAGCAGGGAAGAACAAAGACAGUACCUGACCAAGAAGCCCCGGCUAACUACGUGCCAGCAGCCGCGGUAAUACGUAGGGGGCAAGCGUUAUCCGGAUUCACUGGGCGUAAAGGGAGCGCAGGCGGCACGGCAAGUCUGGUGUGAAAGCCCGGGGCCCAACCCCGGGACUGCAUUUGGAACUGUGCCGCUAGAGUGUCGGAGAGGCAGGCGGAAUUCCUAGUGUAGCGGUGAAAUGCGUAGAUAUUAGGAGGAACACCAGUGGCGAAGGCGGCCUGCUGGACGAUGACUGACGUUGAGGCUCGAAAGCGUGGGGAGCAAACAGGAUUAGAUACCCCAGUAUC
rnacentral:rRNA from 1 species